AACAAAUGAUGAUUAACAUUCUGCCAAAUGAACUUAAGUGAUUAUAAUCCAAGCCCGUAUAUUUUAUCUGAUGUU
rnacentral:snoRNA from 1 species